rnacentral:rRNA from 1 species
GUUUGAUCCUGGCUCAGAGCGAACGUUAGCGGCAGGCUUAACACAUGCAAGUCGAGCGAGAAAGGGGCUUCGGCUCCGAGUAAAGCGGCGGACGGGUGCGUAACACGUGGAUAAUCUGCCUCGUGGCGGGGGACAACAGUCCGAAAGGACUGCUAAUACCGCAUGUCAGGUCGGAAACUCCGGUUUCUGACGAAAAAGAGGGCGCCCGCAAGGGGCUCUCACCACGAGAUGAGUCCGCGUCCCAUCAGCUAGUUGGCGGUGUAAUAGACCACCAAGGCUUAGACGGGUAGCUGGUCUGAGAGGAUGACCAGCCACACUGGGACUGAGACACGGCCCAGACUCCUACGGGAGGCAGCAGUGGGGGAAUAUUGGACAAUGGGCGAAAGCCUGAUCCAGCCAUGCCGCGUGAGUGAUGAAGGCCUCGGUCGUAAGACUCUGUGGGGAGGGACGGAAAAGACGUGACCGUAAUACGUAC